UGUGUUGUGGCGCAAUCAUUUUGCAUGU
rnacentral:piRNA from 1 species